GCUGGCGGCAUGCUUUACACAUGCAAGUCGAACGGUAACAGGCCGCAAGGUGCUGACGAGUGGCGAACGGGUGAGUAAUGCAUCGGAACGUGCCCAGUCGUGGGGGAUAACUACUCGAAAGAGUAGCUAAUACCGCAUACGAUCUAUGGAUGAAAGCGGGGGACCGUAAGGCCUCGCGCGAUUGGAGCGGCCGAUGUCAGAUUAGGUAGUUGGUGGGGUAAAGGCUCACCAAGCCAACGAUCUGUAGCUGGUCUGAGAGGACGACCAGCCACACUGGGACUGAGACACGGCCCAGACUCCUACGGGAGGCAGCAGUGGGGAAUUUUUGACAAUGGGCGCAAGCCUGAUCCAGCAAUGCCGCGUGCAGGAAGAAGGCCUUCGGGGUGUUAACUGGUUUUGUACGGAACGAAACGGCUCUGGUUAAUACCCGGGGCUAAUGACGGUACCGUAAGAAUAAGCACCGGCUAACUACGUG
rnacentral:rRNA from 1 species